GACGAACCGUCCUAACGUUGUUCGGAAUCACUGGGCUUAAAGGGCGCGUAGGCGGGCGAGCAAGUCUAGGGUGAAAUCUUUCGGCUUAACCGGAAAAUAGCCUUGGAUACUGCUGGUCUCGAGGGAGGUAGGGGUCGUUGGAACUUCCGGUGGAGCGGUGAAAUGCGUUGAUAUCGGAAGGAACGCCGGUGGCGAAAGCGACGGACUGGAUCUCUUCUGACGCUGAGGCGCGAAAGCCAGGGGAGCAAACGGG
rnacentral:rRNA from 1 species